rnacentral:lncRNA from 1 species
GGGUCAUUAUUUCAGAAGGUUCUGGAACCUUGAGGUGGUGGGCAGAGGUUGCUGGAUGGUGGAUCUUGAGGGUUAUAGUCUGGCUGCGCUUGCUGCCUGAGUUUUCUGAUUCUUGGUCUGUAGAGAUGUGAGGAAUCACAGGCCAUGUUCUGCCAGCAUGUUUUCCUCAGUGGUUGGUCCUCUGAAUCAUAAAGCGCGGUCCAAACAGCAGCGUGAAGAAGUGUGGGCAGCCUGGGGAGAUGUACAGUUGUCUUCAGAUUUGACGCUCAGCAUGGCAAGUGCCCCUUCCUCAAUGUGGAAAACCCUGGAAACAAGGUUUGGAAAAAAAUCAGAUGUGGAAAUAUAAACAGCCAGCAUUCCAAAUUCCCUCUGUGUUGUGCACUUGUCCUCUCGUGUGCUCUCUUAAAAAGACUCUCAAACUCCAUCUUCUCAAGGACAUUCAAGGUCAAACAGAAUGAAUGUGCUUCUGCUCAAAGUGGCUCCAUCACCUUUGUCUCUCCCCGACGUAGGCUGGAUUCCGAGUCACUGUGUGGACGCAACUGUCAGUAAAAUCAACUUCGCAAAGGACUUUCUGUAAGGAACCCAACCUCAGCAGACGAAAACUGUCUCUGACCAGGGAAAGCAGGGAAUCACUUCCGCUCAUGGGCGGCGCUCCAAGAGGAAGUCGAGUGCAUAACAGAUGGCCAAGUUUCCCUGUUCUAGUCUUGAGAUGAAGCAAGCGCUUUGUCGAGGAGGCCACAGCAAAUGGAAGACCUAUAUGCUUGCCUUGGUUUUGUAGCCAUCUCUGACAUGUCCCUAAAUGGGGUCCUUCUCACUAUUUUAUUUCAUCAGCAACUUGUUUUCAAAUCGAGGAUUUGGUAACUCUCAGUCGCUUUUAUCUCUAAAGGAAAAUGCAAUUUUUACUGGUGACAGUGCUCUUCAAAGUUUAAUUUGUAUGUUGCCUAUCUACGAGUUCUUGCUGAAGUCCCCUUGUUAGCACAGGGCUCCUGUUUCCUCUCUGACCCUCUGAAGCUAAUGACAGCUGCAUUAUACUGCAGAGGUAAUCAAUAGCCUCCUAUGGCGGAUCACAUCCAAUCAGACCCUUAUGAAAUUAGUGCAGUGGAGAUAUAUGUAUAUAUCUUAAUUAAAACGAAAAUAUGAUCAGUAAGAGAUUAUGUUCCCAUUCAUGACCGCCAUUCUGUUCCGACACAUCGAAUAUGUUUAUUCAAUGUAUGAGUCUUCAUGGAACGUCCCACUGAUCAGGUACACUUGGAUGUUGGAUGCAUUCCCCUCAAAAACAUUGUGAAGGGGAAAAAGA